rnacentral:misc_RNA from 1 species
AAAACCUAACCCUUCCACUUUGCUUCCCUCCUUUUCACCUUGUACGUUCGUUUGAGGACGCAGGGAUGACGAAAUUGAUGUGGUUGAUCCUUUUAGCUGGUAAUCUUUGCCACUUUGCGUUAGCUGAUCAGAUCUUCCCAGCUCAAUUAGGUGGUACAUUUAGUCGCAACUCACGUGGGCCAAAAUACAAUAUUGAAUUCCAUCCACAAGACUCUCCUUACAGUCCUGACGAAGACCAGGAAUCUGUGUUUAUGCCCAAUAAAAAUGGAAAGAAUUACUUAUGUUACUUGCCUAAGGUGGAGAAGUCCAAGAGCGGAAAGCCAACUGUUCAACUGAACAUGAGUAGCAUGAUUGUGGAAUCUGAGAAGCGAGUCAAAUUGAAGACUCCAGAUGAGCUGCUUGAGGCAUUAAAAGAGCAAUGCUUUGUCCGGCAAGAGGGUUGGUGGACAUAUGAAUUUUGUUACCAGAAAACACUAAGACAAUUUCAUUUGGAGGAUGAGAAGGUAGUUCAGGAGUUUGUAUUGGGCGUCUAUGAUGCAGAGGCAACUGCUAAUCUCAAUGAGAAUCUCUCUGAUAUAUCUACUUUGAAGGAUCCUCGCUCAAAAGAUGCAUCCCAAAGGUAUCAUGCUCAUCAGUACACAAAUGGAACCAUGUGUGAUCUCACAAAUCAACCGCGAGAAACUGAGGUUAGAUUUGUUUGCUCAGAGCCCAGAGCCAUGAUUAAUUCUAUCACAGAACUAUCGACAUGCAAGUAUGCGCUUACAGUGCGAUGCCCAACGCUUUGCAAGCAUCCGUUAUUCCAGGAAGAGAGACCAGUGUGGUACAUCAUUAACUGCAACGUGCUCCCCGACAAUUACAAGGAAACAGAGCGGAGUGAAGAAUUAGCAGAUGAGAUUGUCAUGGUUACAGACGUCAAAUAUCCAAAAAA